AUCCAGCUGACGAGUCUCGAAUAGGAUGAAUGCGCGUCCUGGAU
rnacentral:hammerhead_ribozyme from 1 species